CGCCCCUCUUGCGCUGGAGCUGCCGCAGCGCCCCUGCCGGCGGAGCUGGCGCAGACCGAGGGACCCACCGCGCAGUGCUCAGAACCUGGGCUUUGGUUUUGACUGUUUACCCUUGAGCUGAAAUGCGGCAGUCAAGCUCCAUGUCUAUUGGUAGCGAGUGAUUCCUUGUUAAAGACAGGAGAAAGGAUUUCUCUAUGAUAAAUACAGGACUUACUGAAAAUUGAACUAGUCAAAGCCGGGUGUGGCAGUGCGCACCUGCAAUCCCACCACUCCAGGAGGCUGAGGCAGGAGGACCACAAGCGUGAAGCCCGGCUUUCAUUGGGAAACUUCGCGACUUACUGAGACCCGCUCUCGGAUUUCUUUAAAAAGGCAAAAGGGUGGGGGAUGUAGCUCAGUGCAAAGGGUCUGGGUUCAAACCCGCUACCAAAGCAAGAGACUUCAUCUUCCCAGGAAGAGGGAGACAAACUUCAUCUUGCAUCUCUGCCAAGUGUUAGGUCAUCUCGGUGCUCAGCGAGGCUGUGGCGCCGGAGUCGGGUUGCUGGGUCUCCCUGGAGAAUCUUCCGGGCCCGGGUCGGCGCAGGCUAACUGGGAAGCCAGCCCCGCGGCCCCGAGGCCACCACCACCCUGCUGUGGACACGGGACUGUUCAGCUCAGCGGAGUGGGAUCUCGCAGGAGCAUUCGGGAGCCAUGGGCGGGCUAACUGGAAGUACAGUGGACCCUUGACUUAGGGACGUGAUCAGUUCCGGAGGGCUGGUUGUAACUCAAGUUGGUGACAGAUCAUCAGACUAUAUCUGUCAAAGAUCUCAGUGAAUGUGGAAAGUGUCGUGAAAAUGAGAAGCCGUUCAAAACAAGCAGAACAGAAUAGGAGGAGACUGAGAUACAAACAAGUUGAGUGAUUCACUCCAAGUCCUCCAGUUAGUAGAGGGCAGAGUCAGAUGGUGAGCUCCGUGUGUGACUUUGGGCCUGUGACCCACAGAGGCUGAGCCAUGGGGGACUCGCUCCAUCACGCAGCAUGAAAGCCUGACGUGGUGAGAACCUGGUGAGGAGAACAUGCAGGAGGCACCACCAAGUGGCAGAGGCAGGCGGCUUGCAAGACACACGGCUUUCAUCCUGAGAACAACGGAACUACUGAAGGAACUUAGCGAAGAAGGGAUGGGCAGGGGUGACAGUGGGACUUAUCCAUGUGGCUUUUGGCUUAGAGACGCAGGACAGGUGGCAGCUCUGUCCUGAAAUGGGAGCAGGAGACGCAGACUAAGCUGCAAUUGGGAGUAGGCACUGAGGGGAGGGCCGAGGCUCAGGGGUUUGGAUUCAACUCCUCAGUGUAAAGUUGACAACCGGUGAGGUUGUACAGGAGACAGGGACACAGAGGAGCUCAGACUGUGAAAGGACAGGCAGAGAAAAGCCCUGGCCCGCCCCCAAAAUGGUCAGAGAGGUAGCUGGAAAAUCAGAAAUAGACGACAUAUUAAAACUUGUAGCAGGCUGGGGAUGUAGCCUGGUGGUAAAGCAUGCAUGAAGCCCUGGAUUACACACACACACACACACACACACACACACACAUAACUUGCUCACUGCUCCCACACAUGCUCAUUGCUUGGGUCCUGUUAUUAGAAAUAAGUUUACUUAUGACAAAAUGUGACUUGUUUAUAUAUGAAACAAGCAGCGAUUCCUCAUUUGGAUCACAGGGCU
rnacentral:lncRNA from 1 species